rnacentral:rRNA from 1 species
UACGGAGGGGGCUAGCGUUGUUCGGAAUUACUGGGCGUAAAGCGCACGUAGGCGGCUUUGUAAGUUAGAGGUGAAAGCCUGGAGCUCAACUCCAGAAUUGCCUUUAAGACUGCAUCGCUUGAACGUCGGAGAGGUGAGUGGAAUUCCGAGUGUAGAGGUGAAAUUCGUAGAUAUUGGGAAGAACACCGAUGGCGAAGGCAGCCAUCUGGACCGACACUGACGCUGAGGCGCGAAAAGCGUGGGGGAGCAAACAGG